AAGUCUCAACAACUGGACCCGCUCGGUCUUUUACAGCCUAACACAUGCAAGUCGAACGGCAGCACAGGAGAGCUUGCUCUCUGGGUGGCGAGUGGCGGACGGGUGAGGAAUACAUCGGAAUCUACAUCUGAUCGUGAGGGGAAUAACGUAGGGAAACUUACGCUAAUACCGCAUACGACCUACGGGUGAAAGCAGGGGAUCUUCGGACCUUGCGCGAUUGAAUGAGCCGAUGUCGGAUUAGCUAGAUAUG
rnacentral:rRNA from 1 species